AGCGCGGUAGGGCAGCCAGGAGUGCCCGUCGGGCUCAUAACCCGGAGGUCGAAGGUUCAAAUCCUUCCCGCGCUA
rnacentral:tRNA from 1 species